GAAACAGCCAGGACACACAACCAUGUAACCAAGGAUGAAAACGUAGGAAAAUUUGUGGACUGUAUACACAAAUCAACCAGAAAUAUUUUGUGGUGGGCAAUGGUCAGAGGCCAGGGAGAUCUCUCACAGAUCCAGCAGCAAACUGGAUGAGGAGGCUUGGAGCUAGCGGUGUGUAUACAUGGAGUGCUGCUUAGUGCUCUUAGAUAGGGUAUGAGAUUUUGCAUAACCCUUGUUCUUUUCAACGAAGGCUGGCCAACAAUCACUGUUUUUUCCAUGGAUGUAACAUUUGUGGACAUAACUUGAAAACUAACAAAAAGCUGUCCUGAGCUCCAACACCUGCUUAAAAUUAAGCCAUUUUUCUCAAUUUUCCAUGGCAAAACCCACAAAUGUAAGAUGGACACAAAGCUUGUGCCAAGGCUCAUCACAAGAUCAGAAAGGAGAAAACAUCUUAACAUUGGCUUUAGAAGAUGUUGGUCUCUUGAAGACUGAUACAGACACAGAAGUUCUGUCUUUGGAAGAGAUUCUGUCUGGUGACACAACAUUGCCAUGGCAGCAAUCACACAUUGACAGUCUUCACGCAAAAACAAGGGCAAUCAAUGACAUCAUGAUAGUAAAGAGACUGGAAGAGGAAAAGAAGAUCCUUGUUGAUGGACCAUCAUUGGAAAUCUCUAUCAUCCUAUGAAGACACUCUAAAGGAGUUUCCCACCUGUUAUCGGGAGGGAAAUUUAAAAGUUUGUCCUGUGCCCUAACUGACGAAGGUCCAAGAGGUCUCCAGAGCAUCAUCCUCAGAGAGCUGCAGCACCA